GAUUUGAGGGAAAUGUCUGAUUAGUAGACAGGCCCCAGAAGCUGUGAGGGGCACUCGCACGCGACCAAGGCACCUGUUUCCAAGCAGCUUGCUCAGGAUCUGGCAUACCCCAGUGCCAAUAUCUGCAAUGUGGUCCUGAUGCGGUACGGGGAGCUGGAGGAAGGGAUUGAUGUCCUGGACAGCGAUGGCAACCUCGUGGGCUCCUCCAAGAUCGCAGCCCGACACGCCCUGCUGGAGACGGCGCUGACGCGAGUGGUCCUGCCCAUGCCCAUCCUGGUGCUACCCCCGAUCGUCAUGUCCAUGCUGGAGAAAUUGAAACAUCCCAAUUAGAGCCGGAGAUAGCCCAGGCCACGAGCAGCCGGACAGUGGUGUACAACAAGGGGUUGUGAGUGUGGUCAGCGGCCUGGGGACGGAGCACUGUGCAGCCGGGGAGCUGAGGGGCAGGGCCGUAGACUCACGGCUGCACCUGCAGGGAGCAGCACGCCAACCCCAGCAGUCCUGGGCCCCCUGGGAGAGUGCUCAACCUACAGUGGAGGGAGACUGACCCAUUCACAUUUUAACAUAGGCAAGAGGAGUUCUAACACAUUUCGUACAAAAAAAUAAUCAAGUGCAUUUCUGGGCCUUAUGUGGGGUUGUCAAAACUCCACUCAGCACAAUUAUGUGUGAAGCUGAAAAAUUGUAGAGUGCCCAUGGGGUAGAAGUAGAAUCCUUUUAUACUUUGGUUCCUUUUUUAUUUUUAUUUUUUAUCAGAAUCAAAUCUGAGCCUUAGUUUCAGCUGACCAGAAGUGGCAGGAGGACAGGUGGAGGC
rnacentral:lncRNA from 1 species